UCGGUUUUGUUAGUAGCAAUGUCUUCUAUUUUAUUUGGCCUCAGCCAUGGUGAAAUGGAACGCGUAUUUAUACUUCAGUUUGUAAUAUUAUAAUUCAUUC
rnacentral:misc_RNA from 1 species